rnacentral:rRNA from 1 species
CCUACGGGUCGCAGCAGUGGGGAAUAUUGCACAAUGGGCGCAAGCCUGAUGCAGCCAUGCCGCGUGUGUGAAGAAGGCCUUCGGGUUGUAAAGCACUUUCAGCGGGGAGGAAGGCGAUAAGGUUAAUGACCUUGUCGAUUGACGUUACCCGCAGAAGAAGCACCGGCUAACUCCGUGCCAGCAGCCGCGGUAAUACGGAGGGUGCAAGCGUUAAUCGGAAUUACUGGGCGUAAAGCGCACGCAGGCGGUCUGUCAAGUCGGAUGUGAAAUCCCCGGGCUCAACCUGGGAACUGCAUUCGAAACUGGCAGGCUAGAGCCUUGUAGAGGGGGGUAGAAUUCCAGGUGUAGCGGUGAAAUGCGUAGAGAUCUGGAGGAAUACCGGUGGCGAAGGCGGCCCCCUGGACAAAGACUGACGCUCAGGUGCGAAAGCGUGGGGAGCAAACAGGAUUAGAUACCCCGGUAGUC